UCUAUCUUCACUCACCCCUCUCCCUCCCCGUAGACCCGCCGCCGCCGGAGCUCGCCCCGCGUCACCAUCGCCGGAGCUCGCCCCGCGCGUCGCCGUCGUCAGAUCUAUUCGCUCGUCGCCGCGAAAGGAAAAUGGCAUGUCAAGUUUGCAAGUCAAGUUGCGCCACCAGCUUUACAACUGGCUCAUUGUUCUAUGUCUAUUUCAGACAGGGUUUUGUACGUUCAGUGAUCACCCCAUGCAACGUAAGGUUGGAAUCCAACUAGCUUACAGAAAAUAGCAUGAUCUUCGAGUCCUGGGGCCCUACACUAUUGAGCUCAAGAAAGGACCAACUAUGACCCACAUGGGAGGAGAAGGAUGUGAUCGUUUCAUCACCCACAAUCAUCUCACUGGGGUGAAAUGAUGUCUUUCUCCUUGAGAGGACAAAGACCCAGGAUUUCUAUGAUCUUUGUCAACACUGAUGACAAUGAUGACGACCCAUUUGACAAUGCCGUCUUCUCCCAAAGAACGAGGAUCAACGAUGAUGAGACCGACCACCUCUUCGACAGACUUCCGUCAUGUGAGGACUACAUUAGGAUGCCAUUCGUGAGCUGUCUGAUAAGGACCAAUCUUGUUGGCCAUGUCAUGCUAUGUUACUUAAAAUCAGUUAAUGUCUAAUUAUUUUAGUGAAGUAUCCUAUUGAUAUGCUUAGUGUAAUUUUUAAAGUAUUAGUAAUCUGAUUGAUAUGCUUUGUAUGGAUUGAUAAUUUUGUAUAUGUUAGUGUAUAUAUAGUGGUAUGCUUGAU